AGGGCUAUGGUUUAGCUGGUUUAAAGCACCUCCCUUACAAGGAGGGGAUCGUUGGUUCGAAUCCAACUAGCCCUA
rnacentral:tRNA from 1 species